UACGUAGGGACCGAGCGUUGUCCGGAAUCAUUGGGCGUAAAGAGCGUGUAGGCGGCCAACUAAGUCCUGCGUGAAAUCUCGGGGCUCAACCCCGAGCGGUCGUGGGAAACUGGUUGGCUAGAGUGCGGGAGAGGAGAGUGGAAUUCCUGGUGUAGCGGUGAAAUGCGUAGAUAUCAGGAGGAACACCGGUGGCGAAGGCGCACAUCUGGCCCGAUACUGACGCUGAAGCGCGAAAGCUAGGGGAGCAAACGGG
rnacentral:rRNA from 1 species